rnacentral:misc_RNA from 1 species
AAAGAUUUUUCUUAUAAGGCAUAUGUAACAAAAUCAAUUUAUGUACAGGACGACAAUAAUUCAAUUUUGCUCCAAUAAAGGCUUUACCCACAAAACUACAGCUUACAGAUAUUUAAAAUCAUGAUUUUUUUGCCCUUUUAGGAGAAAACACAUUUUCGUAAAAAAAUAUUUCAACAUGAAAAUUGCAGCUCAUAUUGCUUUAAGAAUAUUUAUUCCCAGAGAAUAUUGUUUAAGGAUUUUAGAUAGAAGAUUUCUUUAUUACUUUGGCUUUGCAGUUCUGAGGAACAAUUAAGAGCAGGAAUGCCUCAUUCCAAAGUAGUCAUUUUGGAAAGAAGAUUUGCGAAUGUUAAAUCUAUUGAUGUUGUGUAUGUAAAAAAGAGAGGAUUUUUGUUUGGACUUGGAAGAGUACUAGAUGAAAUAACUUUGACAUCCAUUACUGUGGAAAAUAUUCAGGCUAACAAUAAGUAAGUUUGUAUCUUCAAUUGCGUCCCUACUGCCAUUAUUUUUCUUUCAAUUUCUACUGAGGUAACGAGGUUUCUUAGAAUGAAUUACAAUUGUAUGUUUUAAUUCAUUAUGGUAAUUUCUCAGUCGAUACAAACUUGAAGGACAUAUAUUAUGUUAAAUUACUUUAAAAAAAGAUUUUAUUUUAAGAAUUCGAACAAGUAGAAUUAAUUAUUCAAGUUAUAUUAUUAUAUAUUAAUAAUAAAUUAUUAUUAUUAAAACACUGUGAUUCUUUCUAGAUUCACGUUCUGUUUGGGAGGAUUACGAUUUCCGGAUAGAGUAUCCGUGACCACCACUCAAAGAUCCGCCUCCGGAACUUGUUAAAUCAUCCUACAUAAAAUAAUAAAAAUAUACUUAAGAUAUGUAAUUUAAUAAAGUAACGAGAUGAUACCGAAAAUUGC